UCCCCAAAAUAUUCUCCGGGUUUUGUACUGUUCUUUGAUCCUUCCCUACCUGAAUUAUUGCAACUUGGUCUGGUCCAACACUUACCCUUCCCAUCUUAAUAAACUGUUACUCCUUCAGAAGAAAGCCGUUCGAAUUAUGUCAGGUGCACCUCCGCGAGCCCACACCGAUCAUUUAUUUUCCUCCCUUUUUCUUAUAAAAAUUCAUGACAUUAAUCAUCUUCAGCAAUGCGCUUUUAUUUUUUCAUGGGUAAAUUUCUCUCUCCCCCUCAAUUCAAAUCAUUACUUAAUUUUUAAUUUUGAUUAUCAUAGUCAUUUUACCUGCUCUUCAAAUCAUCUUCAUAUUCUCUUUCAUAGAACCAUUUCUUUCCAGCACAAUAUUCAAUAUACUGGUCCUAAGCUAUGGAAUAAUCUCCCUCACUCCAUUUAUAAUUCCUACUCUAAAAAACCUUCUGUUCUAGACUGAAAAAACAUCUCUUAUCAAGUUAUGUAUAAUUUUCUCCUUUUACCCAUUCUCGAUCUUCAUUACUAACUCGUUACAUUUUGUUUUUGUCCCAUAAUUGUAAAAGAAAAAAAAAUUGCAUUUCUGAGCAUCUUUGUGUUGUCUGCGUUGUCUGUCUUGUCUCCUGUUUGUUUCCUGUCCUGUUUUGGCUUUGGUUUUUAUGUGUGUUUAUUUUCAGGGUAGCCCUACACAAGCUCUGCUUUCUGGGUUUCGCCCCUCUAACUUGGCUACUUAUUAUUUUAUGUAUGCAUUAUUAUUACUUUUGAGAAAUAUAUGUUCUCUUGAACCUCGCCCACCAUGCGUAAAUUUAAAAUGCAUACAGUAUAUAAAUUUGUAUUUCUUGUAAUCAUAUUUUUAAAAAUUUUUUUAAUAUUAGUUCCGGAGAGCGUAGAAAAUAUUGCCAUCCAGGGAUCAACAUUGGUGUGGGACAGACCUCGACCUUUGACCUGUGACAUUUUAAAUUACCAUAUUAAUUUAAGUUUGAUUGAAAAGGAUCAGUGUCAACAAGUUUAUAGAAAUGAAAAUUUUAAUACAGAAGAUGCUGAAGUAAAUUUAUUAGAAUUGGAACCAUAUUCAACAUAUCGAGUCAAUAUCAGCACUGAAACAGAUGCAGGACUUGGUCCAGAAACUACUCAUGAAUUUGUAACUCCUGAAAAAGUUCCUAAACGUGGUCCAAUAGAAAUUAACAUCACCGCUGUGUCAGCCACAGGAGCCAGCUUUGCAUGGUCUGAAAUAGAAUGUGGCUAUAAAAGAGGUCUCAUCAGAGGCUACAAAUUCAGCUUGCAAAAUGCAGAUGGCCAAGAACUUAUCACUAGUGAGACAAGUGAGCGUCAGUGGGAAGUUGACAACCUUAUUCCAUUUACUGAAUACAUUUUCAGUGUAAAAGGUUUCAAUUCCAAGGGUGAUGGAGAAAGCAAAGAAUUAAGUAUAACAACGAAUGAGUCAACACCAUCAGUACCUUGUAACCUGAUAGCGAUAGUAAUUCUUUGUGUUGUCAUCCUGGUCAUGUUUCCACCAUUCAUCUUCUUUUGCAGAUUCUAUUACUCUCAGAAGAACAAGAAGGUGAAGCAUCCCACGAUGAUAAGUAUGACUGAUUAUGAUGGUGUUAAAUUACCUGAAACAACAAAAAGAAGUAAUACAAAGAAUGAAAACACAUUGUCAAACAUUGGUGGUCAGAAUGGUGGUGGUGAUGGUGUUGCUACUGGUGAUGCUGCAGCGGAUGAUUCAGCUUACGAAGAGCCACACACAUACAUGACAGUAGACUCAGCAUAUACUAACUUGCAGAAGAAGUCUAUUAAUGUCACUCAUUAAGGUAUGCAAACUGAAAAGAUGUAUUGUUUCAAGAUGAUUAUUAUAAAAACUUGAAAAAUUGAAUUCAAUAUUUAGAUUGCUUACUUUACAUAAUAUAGUAGCUUAGUGCAUAUCAAUUUAAAGUUAGAAAUGAGAAAAAGUGCAUUCGUAAAUUAAAUGGCAUAGACCUAUACACAGUUACUGUAUCCUCCUGCACAUCAGGUGUUUAGCCAGAAAAACGAAAUAGUCUAUCCAAAAUAUAUGCUUUAGUUUAAUGCAACAUUUGAUAGAUUCGAAGAAUAUAAAGAAUUUACUAAUGUAGAGAAGGCCCAAUAGGCUAGGCCGACCUUAGUAGGCCAAGCCUUCCAAGCCGUCACGGAAAAAGUGGCCGUCCUAAAUAAUUACUGGCCAUCCAAAAGACGGCCGGAUGGCUUGCUGGCUAAGUUAUUGCUGUACAUAUACGGUAAUAUGAAAACAUUUUGAUCAGUGGUAGUACAGUGACUACUACAUGCUUUAUCUAACAAUCUGGCAAUUUUUACUGUAUUAUGUAACCACAAAUGAGUAAUUCAAAAUAUGGUUUGCUUUUCAAAGGUUUUGUAGUUUCAUUUGUAGUUAAAAAAAAAAAAAGAAGUACCUUGGAUACUUUGCAUUACAUUAAAGAUGAACUUUUUAGAAUAUAAAGAAAGGGUCAACCAGGGUCUGAUACAGUGGCUUCCUGAUUUAUAUAAAAACAAUUUAUAUAAAGACAACUUAAUCAACUAGAAUAUCAUUUACUUGAAAUUAAUUUGAUAUGGUAGAAAUAUUUAUGAUAAAAAUCUUUGUUUUCUUUUUUGAUAAUUUAAGUCCUAUUGUUGUCAGAAGGUAAUGGACAUGAAGAUCAUAGUUUACCCUUCUUGGUAGAAUAGCACACCAAUUAAGUUGGUCACUGUGACAAUAACUUGUAUACAUGUUUUUAUUUUCCACUUUCUUGUGUGUGUUUUGUAUAUAAAAAAGCAAAAUUCGGCCUAUUUUAGUUGCCACUUUAGGCCCGUUGUCACCUGUCCCUUUGCCACAUAGGCUCGUUGCCAACCAGCCUUUUGCCACCUCUGGGUAAUGGUGCGAUUAUACUGAUUUCUAAACGGAUUUGUUAUUUCAGAUGCAUAUAUUUUUAUAUUUUUGUAUUUGGAUGGUGACGUUAGUCCUAAUUAAUACUGUAACAAAAAUUGUAAUAAAUGUAGUGGUGUUUAGUUUUAUUAAUAUUAUGUUGUUUACUAAUUAUAUAUUAAACUGAGACCACUGUACACAUGUAUAGUUGUCUCAGGUAUUAAAACCUCACAUAAGCCCAAGAGGGUUAUAUUGUAGUUCUCUAGUUUUAUUAUUCCGGUAUAAAAAAUAAACCUCAGAACCGCAGAUAACAAUGGCCGGUGAUUUUACAAAAAAAAAAAAAAAUUUUUUUGUUUGUGGAUGGCAGCCUGUUAUGUGUGUAAUGGUGGUUAUUUCAAAAACAUUAUUAAUUAACCUUAAUUGAAGAUUAUCCCACUUAUUGGGUUUAAGAAUGAUCUAUUAUUAUAUUUUCUCAUGAAAAAUAAUGUCCAUAUAAACUUUAGGAAAUAUUUUGGUAGAUCUAGAUAAAACUAAUUAAUCUCUUAUCUUUAGUGUGAAAAUAGAAAGAUUAUUGGGCUAGUAAUUAAUGAUUAUGAAUAAGCUAAUUAGUUAGUUUAUUAGCUUGAAUGUAAAAGUUUAUUUCAUUCCGACUGUUUAUACCGUGACUUCGACAAGGGCUUGUUCAGGAUAUUGGGUUGUCACACCAUGGUCAUACGUUCCACAUUUCAGAGUGCUACUGUACAUAAUCAUAUAUUUUGCAUAUCACUACACCUGAUGAAGCCAUGCAUAGACUGCUGGUGAAAGCUUGUGUACUAAAUAAUUCAAGUUAGUAUGAAGUUGUAUGUCCAAUGUUUUUAUUUCAUAUUUUACUUAAUAUCUUGAACAAGGCCGGGUGGCCAAAAUGUUGGGUGGCUAUGAGCCAGGUGGAAACAGGCCUAGAGCAGACUAGUUAUACAACGUUUUAAUCAUUAUUAAGCACUUUGGGCCAUUCUUAGCGUAAGUCACUAUAUAAAUUUAUUAUUAAUAUUAUUAUAAAUUAUUAUUAUCAUUUUCAUAGUUGUUGUUGCUCUGGUUUUUAUUCAUAGUCAUUAAAGUGAUAUUGGACUGUAAUUUGUUAAUUUUUUUCAGAAUUUUUUUUAUGUACAUUUUCUUUAUUCUUCAUCUGCUAUAUCUUUCAAUUUCGUUCUCGCCGUAAGUCACUAUAUAAAUUUUAUUAUUAAUAUUAUAAGUUAUUAUCAUUUUCAUAGUUGUUGUUGCUAUGGUUAUUAUUCAUAUUCAUAAAAGUGAUUGUACUGUAAUUUGUUAAUUUUUUCAGAAUUUUUUUUUAAGUACAUUUUUUUUUCUUUAUCUGCUGUAUCUUUCAAAUAUUUGUAUUGUUUAUGUUACCCUUGUUUUAAAGUGUUUUGCCUAUUUCGUUGCCAAGGGUUUGUAAUUCGUUCCUUUUUUGUUGUUUAUAUUAAAGACGAACUAAGUCAAAUGAAGUGUUAAUAAUACUGUAUAAUACUUUAACAUGAAAUAGCUAUAUUUAUAUACACUCGCUAAGGUUAGGUAUGGUACACUAUAACUAUAUCCGAGAUUAAACAUAUGAAUAUAAUUGCAGUUUUCUGAAUAAUAAUUUAAUGCAUUUCAUUUAAGAUGAAUUGUGACAAAAUUAAGUAUUACAUUAGUUGUAUAGAGGUAGGUACUAUAUAUGUAUUUUGUACACAUUGUUAUUAGUUUCGAUUAAAUAGGCCUUUCAAAUUCCUAAAUUGCCAUCAUUAGGUCCACUUUAACAUUCUUUUUUAGAAGAAAUUUCUGUCGGGGAAAUUCGUGGCUGCAUAUAUUUGGCUUACUAACAUGAAUUAUUAGGAGAACUCAUUUUAUUUGUUAAAUUACUUCUGCUACACAGUCUUUUUUAUAUGUACUUAUCUAGUAUGAUAGCCUAUAUGUCAUUGCUAUUUAGUUAAUUAAUUAUUUACUUGUUUUGUAUUUGUUUUUUUGUAUCUGCAAUUUGUAGCCUUGGAUGUUCCUCUUCGCAAUAUUUUUAUUUAUAUGUACAGUAUCCUUUUUAAGACAUCCUGUAAUCCUCACAUUAGAUCACACUAAAACGACAGAAAUUUCUUCUAAAAAAGAAUGUUAAAGUGGACCUAAUGAUGGCAAUUUAGGCCUUUUGCUGUUGGAUGAUGUUGGAAAUAAAAUAAAAUAAAAAUAGUAUG